rnacentral:rRNA from 1 species
CCUACGGGGGGCAGCAGUGAGGAAUAUUGGUCAAUGGGCGGAAGCCUGAACCAGCCAAGUAGCGUGCAGGAUGACGGCCCUACGGGUUGUAAACUGCUUGUAUACGGGAAGAACGCGCCGUACGUGUAGGGCUUUGCAUGUACCGUAUGAAUAAGGACCGGCUAAUUCCGUGCCAGCAGCCGCGGUAAUACGGAAGGUCCGGGCGUUAUCCGGAUUUAUUGGGUUUAACGGGAGCGUAGGCCGCAUGUCAAGCGUGCGGUGAAAUGUCCGGGCUCAACCCGGGCCUUGCAGCUCGAACUGGCGUGCUUGAGUCCGCGGCAAGCAGGCGGCAUUCGUCGUGUAGCGGU